UUCGCAGAGUUGUAUGUGAGAGCAAGGAACGGCAACUCUGCGUGGAGAUUGAACCAAGCGUGACCUCAGAUAAUCUUUCACAGCAUGUUACUAUCGUCUGCAACAAUAAGUGAUCUGAUAACAAACGAUGCCCUUGGAAAUAGUUGAAAAUAGCGGGUUAAAAGAAUCUACAUUAGAUGUUCAAAGUGCAGGCUAGUAUUUCACACAGACUGUGCUCAUUGGGAUCUUGAAGAUAUAAUUACACGCGAAGAUCUGUGCAUUUGUGAUGUCUGCGCAAGCAGAAGAACUACAAGAAGUUGAACUGACUGACAACAAGGGCAAGACAGUUAAAUUAUCAUGCUCGAAGCAGAUUAUACAUCUAUUAUUUAGUCUUGACACAGAUUCUAAUGUGAAGGAGAUGGUAGUGCAAGGGUUACUAGGUCAGGUGACUAAAAGCUGCAGCCAGACAACAGUAGAAACAUCUAGUGACAAUGUUUCAAAAUGGAGCUCGGAGGCCGAGAUGUUAGUUCUUGAAAAAUUCUUCUCCUUAGAAAACAGGACAUCAGGCACCCGCCACAAAUGGGAAGUUGUUGCCGAAAAAAUAAAUAAAUUCUGAUAUGACUUUACUGGCGAACAGUGCAGGCAUAAAAUUUAAAGCCUGAAAGAAAAAUACGAACGCGGUAAAAAAAAAUUAUAAAAAAUCUGGAGAAUCGCCCCCGACACAGAUUCAGGUAAAGAGUUGCAGGACGUAUUUGAGACUUGUCCUGACAUGAAACCUUAAUGCAUAAUUGACAGCGCUGAGUCUGACAAUUCUGGAUGCUGCGUUUCAAAACCAUUUAACAUUCCGCCAGCGAAGAAAACAGACAUCAGUGACAGAUCUGGGCCUAAAGGAACUAAACGGAAGAGCUCAUCCUCGCCUCCAUCCGCCAGCAGCGAUGAUGAAAACACAAAAGAAAGGAGGGAACGAUCAGCAACCUCGGCGGAAUUCCGAAAGGCGUUCAGUCAAUUCGGGAACACUUUUAGUUAAUAAAGCAAAAAUACAAACGUCUUUAAGACUUGGCAUUACAUUUUAUGAUAUCAACGAACCAUAGAUAGAAAACGAACAAGGUCCUUUUUAGCUCGGCUGUUUUCGGAGAAAACCUGAGGAAUUGCGAUUUUCAGCUCGUCGUCCGUCAUCUGACGUCCGCCAUCCGCGUAGUGCUAAAACCUUAACAUUUUUUAAGGUUUUGAAAAUUGGCUCUAAAAUCAAAGUGCUUCAACCUACAACUUUGAAACUUCAUACAAUGUUUUUUGUCUGUUUCUUUUUAAUCGUAAAUUAAUUGUACGGUGUAAGCAAAGAAUAAAUAAUGCAACAGAGAUCAUUUCAUGUUAGCAGUAUCCAAACAUGAGAUUAUGAAAUUAUUUUAAAAUAUGAUUUUCU